rnacentral:rRNA from 1 species
GACGAACGCUGGCGGCGUGCUUAACACAUGCAAGUCGAACGGAAAGGCCCUGCUUUUGUGCGGUGCUCGAGUGGCGAACGGGUGAGUAACACGUGAGUAACCUGCCCUUGACUUUGGGAUAACUUCAGGAAACUGGGGCUAAUACCGGAUAGGAGCUCCCGCUGCAUGGUGGGGGUUGGAAAGUUUGGGCGGUUGGGGAUGGACUCGCGGCGUAUCAGCUUGUUGGUGGGGUAGUGGCUUACCACGGCUUUGACCGGUAGCCGGCCUGGGAGGGGGACCGGACACGUCGCAAAUGAGAUAGGGCCCAGACUCGUACGGGAGGCAGCAGUGGGGAAUAUUGCACAAUGGGCGGAGGCCUGAUGCAGCAAAGCCGCGUGCGGGAUGUCGGCUUUCUGGUUGUGAACCGAUUUCGCCUGUGACGAUGCGAGAUUGACGGUAAUGGGUGAAGAAGCACCGGCUAACUACGUG